UGCUGCUACCCCAACAAACAGCAGCGAAGAAGAUGGCACUGGAGACAACAACAGCAACAACAUAACAGGGAUGACUCAUUUUCCCACAAAAUACUGAAGUCAAUAAACAGUGUGUGACGGCCCUCUUGCUUCAGCAGGGCCCUCUGUGUGUUUCCUCUGCUCGUCUCGCUGUUGUCUUGCAGAUCCUGGUAGGCAGGCUCAGUAAAAAGGUGUAAUUGGGAGCACCUGGCCAGUUUGUCAGUGCUUUUCCCACACAGAAAUCACUGGUAUGAAGGGGGGCUUACAUCAGAGGAAAUGCAACAAAGAGUCAACUCUAGUCAUUGCAGUUUCGAUAACUUGUACAUUUUGGGAGGAAACGUGGAGAGAAAACAGGAGGUGGAAAGGCAUUAAGAUGGGUGGAGGCUUGAUAAGGUGUGUCAGCCUCUGUUUAUAAAGGUUUGUGUCCAUGCUCUCUGCUCAAAACGCUCUGAUUCACCAUCUCAUCUUCUCACCCUACAAAACUCUUAAUACAACUUUGAAAACUAUGGCAAAACAAGGUGGACCUGGAAGCAGUAUUUAGCAUUUAUGAUGCCUUCACUAAGUAUGCUGAGAAAUCUGGACACCCAAAACAUCUGUGCAAGAAAGAUGUUGCUGAACUCCUCCGCACAGAGCUUGACAAAGAGACUUUAAGUCGCACUGAUGUGGAUCAGGUCUUCAGGGAACUGGAUAUGGACGCUACUAAUUUUGUAGAAUUCAGAGUUUCUUUACCUCGUCCUUCGGUUGGCGAAAUUUGUGAACCCACUUUGAAAAAAGUUAAUAGUGAUACAACCUGCAAUACAGUGACGUCUAUAAAAUACAAGUCAUUAUCAAAUGACAUGGAAAACUUGGUUAAGCACAAACAGAUGGAUCAUAGAUGGCUUGUUUGUAGUCUUUGACAUGUGCUGACUCUGAGUGUGUUUCACUGAUUCUAAAUGUCAUAAGCGAUUAACAAAGAAACAAAAAUAAACUAUGUCACAUUUUC